rnacentral:rRNA from 1 species
GAACGCUGGCGGCGUGCNUAAUACAUGCAAGUCGAGCGAGGGUCUUCGGACCCUAGCGGCGGACGGGUGAGUAACACGUAGGCAACCUGCCUGUNAGACUGGGAUAACAUAGGGAAACUUAUGCUAAUACCGGAUAGGGUUUUGCUUCGCCUGAAGCGAAACGGAAAGAUGGCGCAAGCUAUCACUUACAGAUGGGCCUGCGGCGCAUUAGCUAGUUGGUGAGGUAANGGCUCACCAAGGCGACGAUGCGUAGCCGACCUGAGAGGGUGACCGGCCACACUGGGACUGAGACACGGCCCAGACUCCUACGGGAGGCAGCAGUAGGGAAUUUUCCACAAUGGACGAAAGUCUGAUGGAGCAACGCCGCGUGAACGAUGAAGGCUUUCGGGUCGUAAAGUUCUGUUGUUAGGGAAGAAACAGUGCUAUUUAAAUAAGNUAGCACCUUGACGGUACCUAACGAGAAAGCCACGGCUAACUACGUGCCAGCAGCCGCGGUAAUACGUAGGUGGCAAGCGUUGUCCGGAAUUAUUGGGCGUAAAGCGCGCGCAGGUGGCUAUGUAAGUCUGAUGUUAAAGCCCGAGGCUCAACCUCGGUUCGCAUUGGAAACUGUGUAGCUUGAGUGCAGGAGAGG